UACGGAGGGAGCUAGCGUUGUUCGGAAUUACUGGGCGUAAAGCGCGCGUAGGCGGUUUCUCAAGUCAGAGGUGAAAUCCCGGGGCUCAACCCCGGAACUGCCUUUGAAACUAGUAAACUAGAAUCUUGGAGAGGUCAGUGGAAUUCCGAGUGUAGAGGUGAAAUUCGUAGAUAUUCGGAAGAACACCAGUGGCGAAGGCAGCCAUCUGGACCAGUACUGACGCUGAGGCACGAAAGCGUGGGGAGCAAACAGG
rnacentral:rRNA from 1 species